AUUGAACGCUGGCGGCAUGCCUUACACAUGCAAGUCGAACGGCAGCACGGGUGCUUGCACCUGGUGGCGAGUGGCGAACGGGUGAGUAAUACAUCGGAACAUGUCCUGUAGUGGGGGAUAGCCCGGCGAAAGCCGGAUUAAUACCGCAUACGAUCUACGGAUGAAAGCGGGGGACCUUCUGGCCUCGCGCUAUAGGGUUGGCCGAUGGCUGAUUAGCUAGUUGGUGGGGUAAAGGCCUACCAAGGCGACGAUCAGUAGCUGGUCUGAGAGGACGACCAGCCACACUGGGACUGAGACACGGCCCAGACUCCUACGGGAGGCAGCAGUGGGGAAUUUUGGACAAUGGGCGAAAGCCUGAUCCAGCAAUGCCGCGUGUGUGAAGAAGGCCUUCGGGUUGUAAAGCACUUUUGUCCGGAAAGAAAUCCUUGGCUCUAAUACAGUCGGGGGAUGACGGUACCGGAAGAAUAAGCACCGGCUAACUACGUG
rnacentral:rRNA from 1 species